rnacentral:rRNA from 1 species
UACGGGGGGGGGCAAGCGUUUGUUCGGAAUUACUGGGCGUAAAGGGCUCGUAGGCGGCCAACUAAGUCGGAUGUGAAAUCCCCAAGCUUAACUUGGGAACUGCAUCCGAUACUGGAUGGCUUGAAUCCGGGAGAGGGAUGCAGAAUUCCAGGUGUAGCGGUGAAAUGCGUAGAUAUCUGGAGGAAUACCGGUGGCGAAGGCGGCAUCCUGGACCGGCAUUGACGCUGAGGAGCGAAAGCUAGGGGAGCAAACGGGG